UCAUAAUCCAUCUGCCUCGGCCUCCCAAAGUGCUGGGAUUAUAGGCGUGAGCCACCACGCCCAGCUGAUAGAAAUUUUAAAGUUAAAAGAUUAUAACUGUCAUUCUGUUACCGAAGUACUAUAUAAAUUACCUUCUCAAA
ensembl:lncRNA novel transcript, antisense to ACTL6A